GUCGCCAGGGCUGCCGGCUGACAUCCCAACCACACGGAAACGCACCAAGCGACUCAGACAUCUGCAUUGCAGGACUCAAUUAACAUGCACAUCUAAGCGGCUUGCUUACUUUGGAGCACCCCACUUGGGGUGACACCAGGGUGCUACUGAUAAGGGUCACAGCUGUUCACAGGAUGCAGUCUCAGCUCUUCAGGUCUGAACUAUCAUCUUCUUGCAGGGAUUGGUCUCACCACCCAAGGGAGUUGGAGAUCAGUAUUUCUGACUCGUCUCCAAAUCUUCGGAAAGGC
rnacentral:lncRNA from 1 species